GACGAACGCUGGCGGCGUGCUUAACACAUGCAAGUCGAACGGAAAGGCCUCUUUCGGGGGGUACUCGAGUGGCGAACGGGUGAGUAACACGUGAGUAGCCUGCCCUUGACUAUGAGAUAACUUCAGUAAACUGGGGCUAAUACCGGCUAGGAGCUCCUGCUGAAUGGUGGGGGUUGGAAAGUUUCGGCGGUUGGGGAUGGAUUGGCGGCGUAUCAGCUUGUUGGUGGGGUAGUGGCUUACCAAGGCGUUGACGAGUAGCCGGCCUGAGAGGGUGAGCGGCGAUAUUGGGACUGAGAUGCGGCCCAGACACCGACGGGAGGGAGCAGGGGGGAAUAUUGAACAAUGGGUGGAAGCCUGAUGCAGCAGGGCCGUGUGCGGGAUGACGGCCUUCGGGUUGUAAACCGCAUUCGUUCAUGACGAAGCUUUGUGUGACGGUAGUGGGUAAAGAAGCACCGGCUAACUACGUG
rnacentral:rRNA from 1 species